rnacentral:ncRNA from 5 species
UCUCCCAACCCUUGUACCAGUGU